rnacentral:rRNA from 1 species
UGCAGCUGAAGCGGCGCCUCGUCGGGCUCAGGGAGCCGGCGCGGGGUCCCGGCGUGUCGCGGAAGCCUUCUGGCUCCGCUGGUCUCGUCGGGGGCUCCCGCGUCGGCCCUGCACUUCCGCGAGGAGCCGGCCAACGGCGGUUGCCUUCGGCUCGGCGGGCGUCCGGGGAGGUGGCUCUGCGCUUGCGUGGAGACCGUACAGCCCGGCGCGCGGCAGUUCGGGGGCGACCGAGGAGAGCGUUGCGGUCCUUCGCACGCUGCGGCGCGGGCCGACUCCGGUCGGCUGCGGCCCUCCGUCGGGAGGUCUCCCGCUUUGGUGCACUGCGUGCAGUGCCCGAGGACGGACGAGGUCCUUCCGGUCGGGGAGGUUCGACAACUCGCGCCGAGGUCGUUGGCGUCCGAAUGGCUGCAUCCGACCCGUCUUGAAACACGGA